rnacentral:lncRNA from 1 species
AGCAACUGGAAGAGUGCCGAUACUCUUUAGUAAAUUACAUAAUGAGAAGGACCAAAGGGAAUAAAAGUGAAAGAUCGGGAGUCUACGGAGUUCCGAUUAAAUAUAACAUUACACAACAGGAAGCAGUUACAUGGGUAUAAUUAUAAGAACAUUAAACCAGAGACUAGAGGAAUGUAGAAAUGAUAUUGCAACUAAUAUAUUAACAACUGCCCUAGCAAUAGAAGCAUAUUACACUGACAUAGAAGUAAAGUGGGAACAAGCUAAAAUAAUUAAACUGAUCACUGUGAAAUCUCAAGCUGUAAUCGAAGAAACAAUUGAGAUAUUAAAGAGGCAAGAAAAAGAAAAGCUUACAAAUGACAGACCAACUAUGGAAGUAUCCACACCAUGAAAAUAUUACGAGAAUCAAAAGGAAGGACAGUAGUAAAACAGUACGAACGACAGCGGGGCAACCAUCAAAUAGACGUGUGUACGAUACCAGUGGAAGAUAGCUUUUUUUUAUAUAAUGCAUUUUAUUGUAUUUUAUUUGUUGUGUUUUUUUGUUUCUUUACAUUUACUCAGUUUAUUUAUGCUUAUUUGUAUUUUAU